rnacentral:rRNA from 1 species
AACUUUCAACAACGGAUCUCUUGGUUCUCGCAUCGAUGAAGAACGCAGCGAAAUGCGAUAAGUAAUAUGAAUUGUAGAUUUUCGUGAAUCAUCGAAUCUUUGAACGCACAUUGCGCCCUCUGGUAUUCCUGAGGGCAUGCCUGUUUGAGCGU